UACGUAGGGGGCAAGCGUUGUCCGGAUUUACUGGGUGUAAAGGGUGCUCAGGUGGUCGGGUAAGUCAGACGUGAAAUUUCAAAGCUUAACUUUGAAACUGCAUUUGAUACUGUCCGGCUUGUGUACGGAAGAGGUUGAUGGAAUUCCAGGUGUAGCAGUGAAAUGCGUAGAUAUCUGGAAGAACACCAGUGGCGAAGGCGGUCAACUGGUCCGUUACAGACACUAAAGCACGAAAGCGUGGGGAGCAAACAGG
rnacentral:rRNA from 1 species